GCCUACGGGGGGCAGCAGUGGGGAAUAUUGCACAAUGGGGGAAACCCUGAUGCAGCGACGCCGCGUGAGUGAAGAAGUAUCUCGGUACGUAAAGCUCUAUCAGCAGGGAAGAAAAAAAGUCUUUGGCUUUGGACGGUACCUGACUAAGAAGCCCCGGCUAACUACGUGCCAGCAGCCGCGGUAAUACGGAGGAUGCGAGCGUUAUCCGGAUUUAUUGGGUUUAAAGGGUGCGUAGGCGGGACGGUAAGUCAGCGGUAAAAAUGCGGAGCUCAACUCCGUCGAGCCGUUGAAACUGCCGUUCUUGG
rnacentral:rRNA from 1 species